CAAAAACAUGUCCAUUAGUGUAGGUAUUAAUGGUCAAGCCUGCUCACUGACUAGUAAGUUAAAUAGCCGCGGUAUACUGACCGUGCAAAGGUAGCAUAAUCAUUAGUUUUUUAAUUGAAAACUUGUAUGAAUGGUUCGACAAAGGAAAGACUGUCUCUAUAUUAAAUAUUGAAUUUAACUUUUAAGUGAAAAGGCUUAAAUAAUUUAGGGGGACGACAAGACCCUAUAAAGCUUUAUACGUUGUUUACAUAAAAUUGAAUCAAAGAGUCAAAAAUUGUUUGUAAAUAUCUUAUUUUGUUGGGGCGACAAAGGUAAAAUUUGAAAUAACUAUUAUUAAUUUGAUUCAAUGAUAAUUGAAGUAAAAUUAAAAGAUCCUUAUUAAAGAUUUAAAAUAAGUUACUUUAGGGAUAACAGCGUAAUUUCUUUUGAGAGUCCAUAUCGAAAAAGAAGAUUGCGACCUCGAUGUUGAAUUAAGAUUUCUUUAUUGUGCAGCCGUAAUAAGAAGANGGUCUGUUCGACCUUUAAAGUCUUACAUGUAUUUGAGUUCAGACCGGCGUGAGCCAGGUUG
rnacentral:rRNA from 1 species